UACGUAGGGGGCAAGCGUUAUCCGGAUUUACUGGGUGUAAAGGGAGCGUAGACGGUGUGGCAAGUCUGAUGUGAAAGGCAUGGGCUCAACCUGUGGGCUGCAUUGGAAACUGUCAUACUUGAGUGCCGGAGGGGUAAGCGGAAUUCCUAGUGUAGCGGUGAAAUGCGUAGAUAUUAGGAGGAACACCAGUAGCGAAGGCGGCUUACUGGACGGUAACUGACGUUGAGGCUCGAAAGCGUGGGGAGCAAACAGG
rnacentral:rRNA from 1 species